UACGUAGGGUGCGAGCGUUAAUCGGAAUUACUGGGCGUAAAGCGUGCGCAGGCGGUUCGCCAAGUCAGGUGUGAAAUCCCCGGGCUUAACCUGGGAAUUGCGCUUGAAACUAGCGGGCUUGAGUGUGGCAGAGGGGGGUGGAAUUCCACGUGUAGCAGUGAAAUGCGUAUAGAUGUGGAGGAACACCGAUGGCGAAGGCAGCCCCCUGGGUCAACACUGACGCUCAUGCACGAAAGCGUGGGGAGCAAACAGG
rnacentral:rRNA from 1 species